rnacentral:lncRNA from 1 species
UCUUUGUGUUUAGUAGGAAGUAACUAAAUUGCCAUGUUUUGCACCAACAGUAAGAAAUCAAAAAUAAGUAAAUAUGUAUGGUUAAUAAAUUUAGUAAUGUAUGGACUUACUUACAUGAUUUAACUGGAAGAUAAGGAAAUAAAUACGGAGUUACUUGCAUGAUUUAACAGGGGGAAAGUUAAUUCGGAUGGUUUGUCCAACGAAUAGCAUAUAAUAUUUAAAAAAAUGUUUAAAUAGGUUGCAAAAGAAGUUACUUUGGGCUGAUUUUUUAUUCACAGUUGCUAACACUAAUGUUUUGAAAAAAAUGAAAGGUAUGUCAAUUAAGUGGACAUGCAUUUGUCUAAAAGAAGCCCCAAUGUGGAUGAUUUUGUAGCAGUGACAGCCUCCAGGGGGCAACAUCUUAUAUGAUUACAGGCGUGUUUGUAAAAUAUGCUUCGAGAAGUAGGCAGUUGGCUAGCAGUGGCAAAAUGGUGGGGCAGUAAAUAUGGGUGGUUGGUUGGUGGUGAUACUUUAACUGGAGCAUCGAUGCAACUGUUGGGGUAAAAGCUACACCCUGCAUUCAGUCUAUCCAUUUAUUCUGAAGAAACUCCUCCUCCUGAGUGAAGCGAAGAACAGCUAUGUGCGUAACGGAGAGGGAGAAAUAUCAAGGUGGUGGAUGUAAUGGACGGACUUCCUUCACGUAAGGUAACAUAUUCUCCAUUUGUAUGUUAGAUAUGCUUAGAAAUGUAGCCCGGUCACAUGAGUAAUCUUUGGAGAAAUACUGUUCAGGUUGUGCUAGAAACUGGCAGAUCUAAAGAAGAAGACGAUAAGAGAGAGUUAUUCCGUGGUGAUGUAUUGAGUAGCAGUAGCCCGAUAGAUGUUGCUAAGGACUCAUAUCCAAUAGAAGAGUGUGCAAGCACAAAAGGAGCGUUCAGUGGUGUUGGUAACAUUUCGAAGGGACGGGGCAGAUUCACAGCAUCGGAUCUGCAAAAAAUGUAUCUUGAACUAUCUACAAAGCAAAAGGGCAUAAUUAAAAAUUUAGGAAUUGAAGGAGUAGAGUGGAUUAACAAGAUGGUGCACACAAACCUUAAUCAUUCAGCUUGGUUAAUGCUUAAUGUCAUGCUUGAUGACCGUGCUAUGAGAAUUGGCGUAGAUGAUUGUGACAUAGUUCAUAUUACAGAAACUGCGGUAGCAAACAUAACUGGGAAGAGAAUGGGUGGUUCAAUAACGAUUCCAAUUUCUGAAGGUGCCCCAAGCCAUAGUGAAAUCAAAGAUGUGCGAAGCAUACUGAGACUUCACGAUGUAACUGAAGAAAUAACAGUCUCUGAACUUGUCACACUGUUGUUGGGAGAAAGUAAGAAGGGAUUUGAAUUAGAUGAUGAAGGCCCUUCACGCACACAGAGAGCAUUUGCAAUGAUUUACCUUUCUAUUGCGCUUGGUCCUGUGGAGAGAAAAUGUUGUGUCAACAGGAGUUCUUAUGUGAUGGUGAUACUUUAUCCGAAUCUGAAAGAUGUCAAUUGGGGAAAAUAUGCAGUUGAUGAGAUAAUAAGCGGCGCAAGGAAACUGAACCGGGACAAUCCACUGCUUAGCAUAACACUACAUGGGUGCCCUGCUCUGCUUGAGGUAUUUUAAUAAUUCAAUAUUUGCUAUCUUAAAUUUGUGAAUGUACUGACAGGAAUAUGUACAAUAGAUUCUUUAUUUUGACUCCAUGGACAUAGGUUUCGUUCAACUAGAUCAGAAAGCAGUACCCAGGAUAAAGUACUACAACAAACAAAUCCUAAGUGCCCUGGUGAAGGCUAACAACAAAGUAGAUGGUGGGCGUAUUACAUUUGGAUUAAUGAAGGUAUAUGUUUCAGCAUGAAUAAUUAAUUGCUUUUUUAGGUAAUUUGUGAAAAUGCCAUUUUAUAAAAAUGAUAGCUAAAUAUCACAUGUAAGUAAUCUCUGACACUAAAACAUGUUGACAGCUAAAAGGAUCAACCAAGCAUGCUGAUAACUUAGCUUAUGAUUUAACUAAUGAAUCAUGCGUGAAGGUAAAUAUAUACAACCAGAUUUAAGUUUUAUGAAAAGGAUGUACUACAAUAUACCGAAUGUUCACAAUGUUUAUAUAGGGGAGGAAUUGGAUAUUUGAAGAACUAGCACAACAGGCCAAAGGUAGGAUCGAAAGAUUUAUGAAGUUACAUGCAGAUCUCAUGAAUCAAAAUAGUCUGACUAAGGAAAGGAAGAAAAAACUAUUUCAGACACAUAGAUUAGUAGAGAAAAUUGAUGCUGAUAGUUGGCACAGUGAAAAUUCUGCGUUAUAUUCAGAAAAAUGAGGUAGAGGGGGGUGGAUUGGUAAAAGAAACAAUUUCUUGUCUGGACAAUGUUUUGGCUGCUAAGUAAUUAUCUAAUUCCAUGUAAUGUAAAUUUCAAAUAUCAUACUUUGCGACGGUGAUAACACAAUUAAUUGGGAAUUAGGUGUCUGUGAAAACUUUGCCAAGGGUACCAAGAGGAAGGCAAGUCCAAGUUUAGAUGAGGGGGCACAUAAAGAGAAAGGUAUAGCAAAUCGUUUAUGUUUUCCUUUGUACGGAAGAUGAAUGCACUAAGUUAUUUUUGCAGGGCCUAUGGUCCCAGACUUGAACAUGUUGUUGAUGGGUAGCACAGAAUGUGUUAAAGGGAAGGAAGUUGUCUCAGAAGGGGGGGGCAUGUUCAAUCAAGGGAUGCUGGUGCAUUAUAAUCCAAAUGAUGAGCUGCAUUGUGAAGCUGAAGAGUUAUGGAAAAAAGAUUCAUGUAGAAACCAAUUUGAAGAAGGUGGCAUUACCAAUAAUCAGAGCAUCAUGUCCUUUCCAGUUCCAAUCAAUGUAUCCUACUGUGAGUAAUGGUGUAUUGGAAAAAGGGUUCAGAAACAUGAUGAUAUGCUUCAAGAAGACAUUGAAAUCGUAUGUUUUGAAAGAACAAAACUCGUCAUUAAAUAUAUGUUGGUGGAAGCUGAUUUUUUUAAUAGCAAUGCUUGGCUGAUACAUGAGGUGCCUACAAGGAUAUGCCUAACAGGACAGCAAGUAGUUGCCCAAUUCAACAACCCAGGUAGCUUGGAGAAGGAUAGGUUCGAAAUAGUCACACGGAUGAUGGUAGCUGUAGAGAUAAAAUGGAUUAGAGGACUAUAUCGUGGAAGGUGGAGGCACAUCUUGCUUCCAAUAUGGGCUGUAAGUUAUGUUAAGUUACGUACUAAAGUGAUUUCGAAAAAUAUGUAUGAUUUGACAAAGAAGCUGUUGUAAAACGCAGGAAUUGGUAUUAAACGCAGAGCAGUACCUACUUGAUGAGACAAUAAGGAUGAUGUUUGCAUACGCAAACUUGGAAUACGACGUUGAAUGCUGCAGAGUGGUAAUUGAAUUUUGUUUAGACAUAAGGGGACUAUAACAAUUUAUAUGUUUAUUGCUUAACUGGAUAUAUGCUAUGUAGAUUUUUGCUCCAUACCGGGACGAAGAACAAUUCUGGAUUUUAUAUGCAUUUGACAUGGAAACCUGUAGAGUGCAUGUUUUCGAUCCGAAAAGGGGAAACCGUCCAAUGUGGGCGCUGGAGAAAAAGCACAAGAAGUUAUGCUACAAAUUGAUCGAGGGUCUUUCUAGAUGUUAUUUAUAGGUUCUUUGAUGGAUGGAAUAUCAAUGCGGAAUCAUUCCAGUUUAUAUAUCACAGUUUCCUUGAGAAGGCCAGCAACAUGUCAUACCUUAUCUUGCAUUCUAAUCGUGUGAGCUAUUUUUAUGUGGUAAUCACUCUGAUAACCUUUCCUAUGGCAGAUUUGACAGUUCAUUCUACAUGGUGCAUUGCAUUAUGAAUUACAUGGGAACUGGUCUGGCACAUGGAUGUACUGAGGUAUGAAACAUUUCCAUACUUUCGUAAUUUUUUAAAAUUUAAUAAUACUAACUGUUGUCAAAAAAACAUAGGAUGGGUUGAAGAAGAUAAGGGAGUACAUCGUACACAUGGUGCUGACAAUGGAUGGUAAUAUUGGAGUCCCGCCGAAAUGCAUAGUGAGUCCAAUGCUGCUGGAAUAAAGUACUGAUGGCCCAAGUUGUUGGAAAAAAAUUUGUAAUAUAUAACGUAGAUGAUGGAUGUUUUAUGUAGCUUUAUGUAAUGUACUACUAUGUUAAAUGCAGCUGAAUUCUGAGGGAUGCAUCCCUUCUAAUGUAGUAUAUUUGCGUAAAAAUGGUAGAUGGCGUGGACGACAACAAAAUAUGUAGUUCUGGUAGUUUCAUUAGACCUAAUAAUAAAUCUGAACAUUAUCAAUGUUUGGUGCGAGAGCGCUGAUGACAACAUACAAUGCCAAAAAUGUAUGUACUGGAGCUGAUGUCAAUUUUAUUAAUAAAAUGAUUAAUGGACUAAUGAAACUUCCGAUCACAUUCAUUUUUGUAAAGGUAAAAAUUAUUUAAAUGAAUGCAUUUCGCGUAAUGAAAAAAAUUUGGUAUAUGUUUUUUGGAUAAAUGACGGUUCAAUUUGUGGUUCUCGUAUAAAACAGAAAUGCCCCCAGGUGGCUUUAAGUAGAUUUUGUAAUAAUACGGUACAGAGGAAAAUACAUCCAAGGUUGAAGUUUCACCCCAUAUGGGUGCAUAAAUAAUAAACAAAAAAAGGUUGAAAAAGUUAAGAACUUGGUUGACAGGAUAACUGACUUGCUUUGGAUUUAGUAUGUAAUUGUUAAUGAAUAAAAUUAUAAAGCUUGACUUGAAAGUGGAAAAAGUCAAAAAUUGGUUGGCACUAUAGCUAACUAUUCAUACUGUUUUAUUGGGAUAACAUAAGUAUUUCUUGACCGUAGAUGUGAGAAUGAGAUAUCUUUUUGUUUAUUAACUGUAACGAGUACAAUAAAAUAGAGAUUUAUUUGAAAAACUAUUACAGAAACUUUUGACUUGUCGUGGAAUUACUGAAUUUUUUUGUACAUAUGGUCUAGAUGUCCACAUACACAAUUGUAACUAGUACAAGAAAUCUGCGUCCACGGUUUUUUUGGUCAGCUAAACUACCGAGGAAACUAGGGUGAUUCAUGCUGUAGUUCUCAAUACCCGGCAUGAGUAAUGAUAAAAGAUUAGAUUUGGCUGAAGGAUGUCUUUUAGUACACAAAUUUUCAUUAAUAAACAUUUUGCAUGUGGUCUUUGUUACUUUUGUAAGUUCCAAAUUGUAAUGAAAUAAUUGAGUUAAUAGAAAAAAUGUACUAGUAAGAAUAAAGGACGAUGCAAUUAAUAAAUUAUUUAAGGAGUGAAGGUUGCUUGUUUAAACGGAGGAAGAAUACUACAGUAAAAUUAUAUUAUAAAUUUUUGUGUUGUGAUGUAUUAUUAUUAAUAAUUCGGUACGUUGACAGUACAAAAUGAAGCGCGGAGUUCUGAGGACUUAAUUUAAUAAAUAUAUGUAAAAUCUGUGAAAAAAAUAAAAGUUAAACUAAGUCACCGUCUAAAAAACGCGGUAACUCAAUGAGUAUGAUUGGUUUGGCUGAAAGAAACUUGUACUAAUUACAGAAAAGCUGUUUAGCAUUUUGUCUAUGCAUUUGCUAGGAGCAGUGGUGAAAAAUUGCAACGUGGAUGAAGGAAUGAAGGCCUUGAGGUACUGGUGCAUGAGAUAUAUUUUGAUGAACUUAUUGAGGAUGUAUUUGAUUGGAAGCUUGACGACAGGAUGCGCUGGAUUAUUUUUAUGAAUGGGAUUGUGUACGAUAUAUGGAAAACCCGGUUUUGUGGUAACACGCGCGAGGAUUGCUGUAAUUUAUGUCGCAAAAAAAUGUUCAAAUACAUCCUACAAAUUAAUAGUAACAAAGAAAAAAAAGGAUAACAAGUUUUUAGUGUCAUGGGGCCGUUAAUAGAAAUGAAACUGGUGUGUAAAUUAUUAUUAGUAGUAAUCAUUGGCAGCUGGAUACAAAACCAAAAGUACACAGGCAGCCAACGCAUGUUUAGGGGAAAGACCUUGUUUAUGUAGGGCAGGGGAAGGAAAGCAUUAAAAAAUUGUUGUGGUAGAUGGGCAGCGUGCCAUUUAAGUGGUAGGCAGUGAACGACGCAAGGGGUGUUGGCUUCUUCCUCCACUCCCGACUCCGCCUCGCGCCGCCUCCCCGGGCGGCGGCCGGGGCGGCUCCUCCGCGCCUUCUCCUCGCCCCCACCCCUCCGUCCUCCCUCCCCCGCCGCCGCCGGACAGCGCCCCCGGAUCUGGCCGGGUGGCUCGGCGGCGGCGGGCCUUCUUUUCCCCCGCGCGCUGCGCCCUUCCCGGGGCAGGGCUCGGCGGCGGGUGCAGCUCGGCUGGCGGUGGUCCGGCGUCCUGGUGGCGGGGGCCGGCGGCUGGCGCGGUGGUGGCGCUGCCUCUUGGUGGCGUGGUGGCCUGGUGGCGCUGGUGGCCGGCGAUGCGCCCCCGGCCCAGAUCUGGGCCCUUAGGGCCCCAUCUGGGUCCUAGCGGGCCGGCGCCCGCGUGGCCUUGCUGUCUACGGCUCGGUGUGGAGGAGGAGCGGCUCGGAUGUGGGCGGCGGCGCCGAUGGCGUGCCGGCAGCAACGCGAGGGCGGGAGCUUUACGGGCCCACGAGGGCUCGGCCGGGCCUGUGGGCUUACGGGCCUGGUGUGCUCCUGCUAUUGCGUCCGGACGGCUACCGUCGCUGACGGUGGAGGUGGGGCCCUCCCGCGUGCCGACGGUGCUGCUGCCCUAGUCCCGGCUCUGAUUCUUCGCCUUGUUGUCCUCACUUCGCGGUGUCGUGGUGAGACGGCGUGGGGGCCUCUUGACCGUGUUGGCGCUGGGUGGUGGUUGGUUUGGUGGCUGGCUCCGGAGCGCCCGAGGUGCGGGUUGGGAUCGGGGGAAACCCCUGUCGGCUUGGCCGACACCGGCGCGGUGGCGCCUGUGGGUGCUGCCUGACCUUCCGGGAGGGCGUCGGCGGCUACCCUUCCUCUCGCCUCGUCGUGUACCGGGGGAAACCCUUGGCAGCAGCGUCGUCAUCGUCGCGAUCCUUCUUGGAGGUGUUGAUAGGUGCCGGCGCUUCGGAGUCUUGGAGCCUAGUGGAAGAUCCCGGUGGGCGCAGCGUUCGCGAGGCUUCUUCGUUUUCGUUGAUCCGCCGUUGUUCUUUUGCUCUUUCUCUGUCGUUUCUUUUGGGCGUGACUGUGCUGCUUCCGCCCCAGCACCUAUCUUCGUACGGCUUGGUUGGUUGCUUUGUAUACAAAGCGGGGGGAAACCCUUUUUCGGCAAGUGGUAGGCAGUGUGAGCAGAUAUACUGUUGACUAGCAAAACCACCUGCCGCUUGGAGGAGGAUAGGGUUUCCAGGUUAGAUCUGUGCUCGGGAGGGAAGUGCGCCGCCAUGGCGAUGGAGCAGAAGCUGAUGAAUACUGGGCAAUACAGGCAAGAAAGGUAACACGUCCGGCUGUCCCCCCCUCAUCUUUGCCUAUUUGUGUGCCAACUGUUUUUUGACUAUUUAGUACAUGGCGCUGCCGGGUCUAUGGGGAUUUCCGCAUUUAGGUUCCUUGCUUUAUUAGAAAGUGCGAAUAAUGGGGAGCUAUUCUACAGCGAUGAGCCGAGUGCUCUAGAAACCGUCAAUGAAGGAAGCGAGUCAGAUAUAUAUUCAGGUUCAGAGAACAUGCUGUCAAAUGUUCAUGCAUGGCAAACAAAUGGUAGUGGCAUUGUUAAAGCGACAGAUUUGGCUGGGCCUGAGGGUCUGCGGCUUAUCAGUGGGUUGAUUGAGCCUAUUGAACCAGACAAGGCCGACAAAGGAUGCCUACAAAUUUCAGAGACCGCGGGAGCAGAGCAGAGUUCUGAAAGUGAUACUACUUGCGUUAGAAGGUAAUUUGAACCUUUGUUAUAAUUUAUAUUCAACUUUGUGAAGAAAAAUGUGUGACAUUUGAACUUUGUUAACAGGCAUCGGCGAGGAGCAAUGCCUGAUGAGAGAACUAUACAAGCAAAGAGGGUUACAACACUUGAAACUGCAAUCAGGGGUUUUGCUGAAAGGAAAACAGCUUCUGUCAUUACACCAACACUAGGAUUGAGUUAUGAUUCAUUGACAGAAGCUUACGACUUUUACAACCUGUAUUCUUGGGAAUGUGGUUUCGGCAUACGUUACGGAAGAGCAAAAAUAAUGUGAAAGGAGCCAGGUGUAUGCAGGUUUGUUUGCUGUUGUUCGAUAAGUAACUUUUUUUUAUACUUGAUUACACAAAGCAUUGUGUGGAUUACAUGUUGCUAUCGAAAAUUGACAUGUGCAUUUCUUUUGCAACAGGGGAAACCGAAUAAGGAGAACAACAGUUCAUGCAGAGCAAAAUGUCGUGCAACGGUGAGGCUACUAAGAACUGAUGACGGGGGUGGUAUAUAUCCGAGAACAGGACAGAGCACAAUCAUGUACUACUUGAUACUUGUGCUUCUAAGCUCCACUUCCCGUCGCAUAGGCACAUAGAUAAGUACACUAGAUAAUUGGUUGCGCACCUUAGGCAGAAUAAUGUUAAUCUUAGUAAGGUUUACAACAUCAUUGGAACUUAUUUUGGGAGGAUCGAGAAUGGUCCAUUCACCAAAAGGUUCUUACGUACAUUGUGUGGGAAAAUUAUUAGAGAACAAGCUGAUGAUGAUGUGCGUAAAACAAUAGAAAUUUUCUUGGAGAUGAAAGAGAAAGAUAGUGAUUUAUCUUACACAGUUCAAGUGGAUGAUGAAAGCCGGAUUAGGACAUUGUUGUGGUCUAAUGGUAGAAGCAAAUUGCAAUACCACUAUUUCGGAGAUGCAGUGACAUUUGACACUACUUACAAGACAAACCUGUAUGACAUGCCGUUUGGGCUGUUUGUAGGUGUUAACAAUCAUUUCCAGAGCACUAUUUUUGCUGGUGUUCUUAUGAGGGACGAGCAGUCAGAAAGUUUUGAACAGGUUUUCCGUGAGUUUGUGAAGAUGAUGGGAGGAAAGGUUCCAGUGACUAUUCUUACUGAUAAUUUUUUUGUUUGUUUUCAAUCUGAAAAGUUAAUAAAAGAUGUCAUUUGUGCUAUAGGAAUGAUUUUGAUUAGUACUAUAUAUGUAAUUUAUGGUAAUAUAAAUAAUUUUUAAUCAAAUGUUGAACAGACCAAGCUAGGGCGAUGGAGAUUGCUAUUGAGAAUGUUUGGCCGGAAACAACACACCGUUGGUGCAAGAGAGUUUGGGUUAUCAUCAUACAAAGAAGAGUGACUUCCGAGCAGAAUUCCAUAGAUUGGUGAACGACAUGCUAACUAUCGAAGAGUUUGAGAAGGGGUGGGUGGAGAUUAUGAAGAAAUACAGUUUGCAGAGCAAUACAUUCCUCAUACAAAUAUUUGAGGUGAGGCGGAAGUGGGCAAAGCCAUAUUUUUCUGGAAAAUUUUGUGCGAAAAUGACGAGCACACAAAGGAGUGAGAGCGCAAAUCACAUGCUGAAGAAUUAUGUUCCUCCAGCAUGCCCAAUGAAUCUUUUUGUCAAGUAGUAUGCAAAAGUACCGUUUGAUAGAGAGCAAGAAGAAGGUUUCCAAGAAAAGAGGACCAAAUUGGUAAGAUAAGCAACAUUCUUUUAAUAUAUUGUAGUUUGUUUAAGCAAGCCUGAAUUAUGUUUCUAAUCGGUACACAGGCAGGGGUAGUUCUAAAAGUUAACAUACCAAUUGAACGCCAUGCAACCACGGUGUAUACUCAGGCCAUGUUUGAGCUGUUUGGAAAAAGUCUUUACUACUCAUGUUCUUAUUACAUCGAAGAAUUAGUUCCAGGGAGUGAGUACCUGGCAACACACGUGAAGGCGGGGUCGAGGGAGAAAUGGUACAAGAGCAGAUACAAGGUGGUGGUUUCAGAAUUCAACGAUUUUUUCAGUUGUGAGUGUUGACUCUUUGAGCAUAUGGGGAUGAUUUGUUUCCAUGCACUAAAGGUGUGUACAUAUGAAUUUUUAGUAGCUAAUUCCUUUUAUUUGUUAAUUGCUGACUUUGCACAUGACUUGGAAUAACAGGUGAUGAUAGUGUUGGGAUUGAAUGAGAUACCAAGGAAGCACAUACUGAAAAGAUGGACAGUAGAUGCGUGUGAUACCCUUCCAGAACAUCUGAAGCAUUAUCAAAAAGAUGUAGGCCUACCUGAUUGCACAACUUUCAGACACAAUGCUAUGUACAUCUCUGCUCUGGAAUUGGUUAUGAUGGGUGAUAGCAAUCCCAAGGAUUUUGACUAUGUCAUGAGCGGGCUAGCAGAAUUGAAGAAGGGUGCUUUGCCACUAAGUAAUCUUAAAGAUGGAAUGAGUCUAAUUGAAAAAAAGAAGGCAUGUAAGUCUUCUUUGUUGCUAAAUCUAUUGCUUCAAAGGUAGUCAGAAGCAGAUUAUUGAUGAGGAAGCUGCAUCAAGUGCUGGGAAAAUUGAAUGGAGAAAUGCAAAAGCAAGAACGAUAGUAGGGGAGGGGCAAUCUUCAGUUCAUGCUAAUGGUACAAUUCAAGCAAUUUCGGGUUCGUCUACUAUCCAGGGGGCGACCUGAGCACGGCUGAUUCAAACAUUGUUGUAACUUCAAGAAGCAUGGAUAUAGAAAGCGACAUGUCCAUGUUACCCCCUAAGAAGAAACCAAGGAUGAGAGGUCAUCCGAAAACUGCAAGAGACAAGCCAAAUUACGAAAUAAAUGACAAGCGAUCGGGGUUUUGCACCAUUUGCCGUGGGAAGGGGUACAAAAGAACUAUAUGCCCUCAAAGGGGCAACGAACCGCAGAAGCCCAGGAAGAUUCCGACAUGUACAAAUUGUGGCAUAGCCGGUCAUCAUAGGAAUACGUGUUCAGAAGUGUUGUACUCUACAUUGGAUGGGGUGCACUCUGUAGGAUGCAUCUGAAGUAAUUAUGUACUUCUAAUUGAAUCUUUUUUAAACAUUUGGACAAGUUUGUGUUGUAAAACAUCUGGAGACAAAAAAUGUUGAAGUUAUGUUACUUUUUUUAUUAUGUUUUGUAAGAAUAUGUCAUAGGGGUAAGAAAUAAUUUAUUUGGAUAUAGGCGAUACAUUAGCAAGAGCAGCUGCAAGGAUGGAUAUCUAUGAUUGCUGAAAAAGAAAACAAAAAAAUUACAGAUAUAUAUGGAGCAUGAUAGGCACAAGGUAUUUUUUUGGGAAAAUAAACAAGUAGAAGAAAAGAACAAAUAUUAAUGCAGUGUGUUUAUAAGAGUGGUAGAGGCCGCAAGAAAAUGCCAGGAAAAAGCACAUGGUGUCUGGUUGGCAGAGGAGUAAUAAAUAUGUGGUUUCUGUGUGAGAGGCGGCAAUGCUGUGGACAUACUUGUCCAUCUAAGGACAUGCCGAGACCUACAUACUUGUCCAUCUAAGGACAUGCCGAGACCUGAGGAAGCUUCAGUACUCACCAAGGCAACAUNNNNNNNNNNNNNNNNNNNNNNNNNNNNNNNNNNNNNNNNNNNNNNNNNNNNNNNNNNNNNNNNNNNNNNNNNNNNNNNNNNNNNNNNNNNNNNNNNNNNNNNNNNNNNNNNNNNNNNNNNNNNNNNNNNNNNNNNNNNNNNNNNNNNNNNNNNNNNNNNNNNNNNNNNNNNNNNNNNNNNNNNNNNNNNNNNNNNNNNNNNNNNNNNNNNNNNNNNNNNNNNNNNNNNNNNNNNNNNNNNNNNNNNNNNNNNNNNNNNNNNNNNNNNNNNNNNNNNNNNNNNNNNNNNNNNNNNNNNNNNNNNNNNNNNNNNNNNNNNNNNNNNNNNNNNNNNNNNNNNNNNNNNNNNNNNNNNNNNNNNNNNNNNNNNNNNNNNNNNNNNNNNNNNNNNNNNNNGAGAGAGAGAGAGAGAGAGAGAACCAUUCAGAGCGUCCAUGGAUAUGGUGAUGGAAUCAAAGAAGCGUCCGAGGAACUUUUCAGUGCAUGCAAUAUACUACUUUGAAAUUUCUUCUUCUUCUGUUGUUCAUUCUUUUACUAAUUUUUUUGUACCAGACAACUGCAAGUGUGGAAGGAGGGGCAGCUUAUGCUAUAAUUGAGACAGGAGAUACUUCCUCUGGUUCAGAAGUUGAGCAGGUAAAAAUGUAAUUAGUGCUUUUAAAAUAAGAAUGCAUGAAUUAUAAAAAUAGUGUAACAUCCCAAAUUUUCAAUUUGGAAUGUUAUACACUAGAUCAUCAUUGCAUAUCAUAUUUAUUGCAUUUUGGUUGAUCCUAGAAAUUUUUCGCAACUCAAGGACCCUGGGAGAGAGUUGGGGAUUUCGUUAUUUUCAUAUUUGAGUUGUCUCAAAUUUUGAAAAUAGGAUCAUUUGAUUUUAUUUAUUUUAUCUUCAAUUAUUUCUAUUACAAAAAUAUGAGAGAGGGAAUAAAAUGACUUUCCCAAAAUAAAGAAAUAUUGAGGAUUUAAUAAAAAAUCAAAUAAGAUUUAUUUCGAGAUUUUUGGAGUCUGUUUAGUAGUCCUUUUGUUUUUUUUCCGAGCGUAAGUUUUUUUUUUAAAAACGUCCGAACCGACCUACGGGCCGUGCUAGGCCCGGACUCCCCCGGACCCAGCCUUUAUAAGCCGCNNNNNNNNNNNNNNNNNNNNNNNNNNNNNNNNNNNNNNNNNNNNNNNNNNNNNNNNNNNNNNNNNNNNNNNNNNNNNNNNNNNNNNNNNNNNNNNNNNNNNNNNNNNNNNNNNNNNNNNNNNNNNNNNNNNNNNNNNNNNNNNNNNNNNNNNNNNNNNNNNNNNNNNNNNNNNNNNNNNNNNNNNNNNNNNNNNNNNNNNNNNNNNNNNNNNNNNNNNNNNNNNNNNNNNNNNNNNNNNNNNNNNNNNNNNNNNNNNNNNNNNNNNNNNNNNNNNNNNNNNNNNNNNNNNNNNNNNNNNNNNNNNNNNNNNNNNNNNNNNNNNNNNNNNNNCCUGCGCCCGACGCCGCGCGCCGCCGCCGCCCGCUGCCGCCCCGCCGGACCCCGCCGGACCCCGCCGACGCCGCCGCCUCGCCGGAGCCGCCGUCGUCGUCCCGCCGCUCGAGGUUUACCUCGAUCCCACCGCCGGUUUUCCCGGAAAAACCGUUCGGUGUUCGCCGGUUUUUUUGUUUCGUUUUUUCUUUAGAUCGGUUUUUUCCCGGUUUAGGCUAAUUAGCGAGCGUUCGCUCGUUCGUUCGUUUUAUCGAACGCGUUCUUCGUUUAGAUUCAGUUAACGAACGAACGUUCGUUAAAUUGUUCGUCGUUUUUCUUUUUCUCGGAUUAAAUCCGCGAUUUUCUGAUCGCGAUUUCUGAUCCGAUUUUCGUUUUAGUUUAUCUUUUCGCUCGUUUAUCGGAAUCAGGCGAUUCAAGCGCCUGGAGUUUCGUCUCGAAACUCUCUUUCUGUUUAACCAACUUAAACAAGUUUUUGCUUCUGUAAAAAUUGCCUUAGAUCUAGAAUAGUAAACGAAGCCUGUUUCUUUUGCCGUUUGUCUUUCGUUGCUUCGUUCGAUUCGAUUCUUUUUGCCAACCGGAGUUCUUAAGUUGAACUUUCUGGUUAAAUCUCUUAUUUGAGUUUUACCUAUGCAUUAGUUGAGUACUUAUUGUGUGCUUGUUUGUUUGCGAUAGAGUACCCGGAGUGCGCCGCUUGUUACUUCGAAUCGCUAGGUUUCCCGGAUCAUCAGCAAGGCAAGUAACACUUUGAUCAUACCUCCUACUACCCAGUUUUAUUGCAUUAGAUCAAUCCUUACACAUUUCAUGAUUAAUGUAAUUAAAUUGUGGGUUUGGGAAGUAGUUGAGGUAGUACCUAUUACCUGUCUAAUUAUCAAACCUUUGGGAGUUACUUCUACGUUUGCUUAUUAUUGCUAUGCUAUGCUAGUAGACGUGGAUUGGGUGAGUGUAUCCAUGACAGAUGUGAGCUUUGUUAAUUAAUGUUUUACUUAAGGUGGCAACCUAAACACACAUCUGGGUGGAUUGAGGCAUCUGGGUAUUCCAGGAUUGCCUGUUUUCUUUUGGACCGCCACCUAGGCUCAAAGGGAUCAUGAGAUUAUUCAUGCUAGAAACUUCUGUGUGCAGCCACAAGCUAUUAUGGGCUCUAGCAUAGUUGACUAAGUCGUGCGAACUCUUACAGUGGUAGACUAGCAGAUGUAGGGGAUGUAGGUGGUACGGUCUACCCAUCGUAAGGUGCUAGCGCUUCUGAAAGACUAUGUCUCGGUCAUCCGUUUCUCAAACACCAUGUAGUGCGAGAAACCAAAUGGAGGCGAUCGAGUCUUGUGGGGAAAAGUGCGCAAACCUCUGCAGAGUGUAUAAACUAAUCAUGGUUAGCCGUGUCCCCGGUUAUGAACAUCUUGAGUAUCUAGUACCUGGAUUAUCAUGUGAAUCUCAACAUGUUACUCUAAAGAUUAAUUUUGUUGGGUUUGUUUAAUGAUGAUGUUUAAUUGGGAUUGAGAAUGCCGUCAACCAUUCUCACUGUUUAACAACCACCAUAAUAGUUAAAUAAAUUUAUUCCUUUGCAGUAGGGAAAAAUUGGCUUUACGCAAAACUGUAACCAUAGAGCUUUCCACCAGCCAAAUAUGCAUAUAGUAUAACUGUUUCAUUCCAUUAUUCUCCAUGUGUUACAUUGCCAGCAUAUUCCAUGUGCUGACCCAUUUUCGGGCUGCAACGUUAAUGUUGCAGACUUUUCAGACGAUGAUUAAGGAGUUCUAGGUUGUGGUUCUAUACUCAGUGAUGCCGUUGGAGUUGAUGGACUCACUUAUCUUCCAAGCCUUCCGCUGUUAUCGUUAUUAGAUGGCCUUAAGCCAUUUUUAUUGUAAUAAGUUAUCUUUGGAGACACUCGAUGUAAUAAGUGUGUGAUUGCUACUCUGCUAUAAAUCCUUCAAGUACUGUGUGGUGUCAGCAUUACUGAUCCAGGGAUGACACCGAAGCACAGAGAUUGGACUGUCUGAGGUCUGGUCGCUACAAGAUGGUAUUAGAGCCCACACUAACUGUAGGACACGACCACUAAGCUAAAGACCUAGAUCACUACUCACUCUCUUCUCUUCUGACCUUUCAUCUUUUCUACUCUUUUUGGAUGGCGGAUGCAAGAAACAAGUUCACUCAACCGGAUGAAGAUACACCCUUUGGACGUCACUUGAAGGAAGUCACUAGAUACCUGAACAUAUGAGUACCAAGCUUCACUGGAACCUACAAUGCCACCUUACCUGAAGAAGAGCGUUGGAUGAUUCAAGUUCAAGUUCUAGGAAGGACGUUCAUGCCAGUCACUGAGCCCAUAAAGUUUUCUUUCGAUGCACCAACCUGGAGUCUAGGAAAGAGCAUGGCAGCUCACAUCGCCAUGGGACGCAUUGGAGAAGUCUACCGCAAUGAUCUCAAGGAUACUAUCUACCAGAUUUGUGGGCGCCGAGAUGAGCACUGGGAGAUGAUCAGCACCAGAAAGGAUAGAUCAAUUGCAGCUUUUAUCCAGGAGUUAAACCAACACAUUUGACGCCAGGAGAACCAGAUGUGCGCCGACAUGAUAGAUCUAAAGAAUACAAGGACAAGAAUCAAGGAACUGUAGGAAGAACUCAAGGCUACACGUGAAGAUUUUGAAGAAGAAAUUGAAGUAUUAGUGGAAAAGAAUGACGAUCUGAUCAAGAAAAUUGGAAUAUUCAUGGGAGACCCUAUAUCGGUAGAAGAAGACGAAGAACCCAAGGAGAUUCGCCCGGAAGACUACAUCAUCAUCGACGACAUCGACUCGGAUCCAGAUGAUAGCGAUGAUGACUAUGUUGAUGAAGCUGGAGCAGAUAUCAUGGAGUCUGUAACAAAAGAAUAUUUCUAGUAGACCACCCCAACAAUAGUAGUAGUCCACCAUGUAAAUAUAGUAGCCCGAGGACUUUUGUGAUAGUUAGAUCGAUUGUAUGCCCUUGUUUGGUUGAUUGGAUGAAGUGAAUUGUUUGCUUUUGCCUCAUGUGUAUAUGGGUAGUGUUUUCUCUUUAGGCCCCCUCUAUUCUUAAAUCUCAUCCUUUUCUAAACCCUCAGAUGCCUCCGAGACGUGACCCCGAAUUUACCUUCCCACCGAAGCUCACUCAAUUGAUCCAGCAACAGAACACAUUGAUGCAGUUACUAGUCCAGAAUCAGAACCAGGGGAACAACAACAACAACAACAACCCACCACCACCACCACCUGUUGAUCACUUAGCCCAAUUUUCUUAGACUGAAUCCGCUGGUGUUUUCCAAUAGCACCGAGCCGAUAAUAGCAGAUGAUUGGCUCCGCAAGACAGCUAGAGAGUUGACCACAGUAGGAUGCACUGAUGCAGAGAAGGUGAAGUUUGUCGCACAUUAGCUUGAAGGACCCGCAGCAUCAUGGUGGGAGAAUUUCACAUCCACUUUCCCUGUCAAUACUAUCACAUGGGACCAGUUUCAGCAAGCUUUUCGUACUGCCCAUGUUUCAGCAGGAGCUAUGGCCAUGAAGAAGCGAGAGUUUCGCAACUUGCGCCAAGGAGGACGGAUAGUUGGUCAGUAUGUGGAGGACUUUAGUAAGCUAGCACGUUAUGCCCCAGAUGACGUUGCUAGGGAUGCAGCUAAGCAGGAGAAGUUUCUGGAAGGAUUGAAUGAUGAGUUGAGCAUGCAGUUGAUGGUAGCAACCUUCAACAACUACCAGGAGUUGGUAGAUCAUGCUCUUAUGAUUGAAGGGAAGCAGCAGCAAAUUGAGAAUCACAAGAGGAAGUAUGCACAAGGAAAGUACAAUUCAGGAGUUCAGCAGAAGCCACGAUUUACCCCUAGGCCGGGAGGACAUUUUUAGCAUACCCAUGGAGGAGGUAGUUCGCACAAUCACAAUGGCCCCAGGAAUGGUAAUGGGAAUGGAGGAAGCAACGGCCAGAACCGCACCAACCCAUCAACCCCAGCCAAGAAAGACCUAAGCCAAGUCACUUGCUUUAAGUGCCAGAAGACCGGACAUUAUGCUAAUGAAUGUCCUGAAUCCCAGAAUGGAAAUGGCAAUGGAAGCUCUGGGAAGAAGCCAAACCCUUUCAACAGGGGACAGGUGAACCACAUUAACGUGGAGGAGGUUGAAGAGCAGCCGGAUGUAGUAAUCGGUAAGUUUUUGGUUAAGUCAUUUACUGCACUCGUUCUUUUCGAUACUGGUGCAUCGCAUUCAUACAUAUCAAGGGGAUUUGUGGAUAAGUAUAAACUGCCAACCCAAGCCCUUAGGUCACCCAUGUUAGUAACCUCGUCUGGAGCAGAACAUAUGGCUAGUCUAUGGUGUGAUCGGUUACCAUUAAGGAUUGGUAACUAUGUUUUUCCCUCGGACCUAAUAGUAUUGGAAUCCCAAGGAUUGGAUGUGAUAUUAGGCAUGGAUUGAUUAUUAAAGUAUGAAGGGAAUAUUGAAUGUGCCAGUAAGUCAAUUUCACUUACCACCCCAGAAGGGAGAAGGAUCAAGUAUGUAUCCCGACAUGUGCCAAAGAGGACUCAAGUAAAUUGUUUAACCGAAGUAGUGCAGGAGGAAGUACCAGUAAUGAAGGAUUUCCCCGAAGUAUUUUCAGAAGAGUUGCCAGGCAUGCCACCGGAUAGAGAUAUUGAGUUUUUGAUUGAGCUUUUGCCAGGCACAGGGCCAAUAUCAAAGAGACCAUAUAGGAUGCCUGCAAAGGAUUUGGUGGAAAUUAAGAAGCAGAUUAAGGAGUUACUGGAUAAAGGAUAUAUUCGCCCAAGUUCAUCGCCUUGGGGAUCGCCAAUACUUCUAGUGGAGAAGAAGGAUGGAUCGUUAAGGAUGGUUGUCGAUUAUCGAGGAUCGAAUGAAGUAACCAUCAAAAACCAGUACCCCCUACCGAUGAUCAAUGAUCUGUUUGAUCGAUUGCAAGGAGCUAAUGUAUUUUCCAAGAUCGAUCUGCGAUCAGGAUACCACCAGUUGAAGAUUCGGGAACAGGAUAUACCCAAGACGGCUUUUACCACCAGGUAUGGGCUGUACGAGUAUACCGUUAUGUCAUUUGGUCUGACUAACGCACCUGCAUAUUUUAUGAACAUGAUGAACAAGGUGCUUAUGAAGUUCUUGGAUAAGUUCAUCGUAGUGUUCAUUGAUGAUAUCCUGGUUUACUCAAAGAAUGAAGAGGAGCAUAAGGAGCAUUUGCAUUUGGUUCUUGGAAAGCUCAGAGAACAUCAAUUAUAUGCCAAACUUAGCAAAUGUGAGUUUUGGUUGAAGGAAGUUGGAUUUCUCGGACACGUUAUAUCUGGAGAAGGUAUAGCAGUAGAUCCCACUAAAGUUGAUACCGUGACCAAGUGGGAAGCACCAACCACCAUGGGAGAGAUCCGGAGUUUUCUUGGACUCGCAGGAUACUACCAGAGGUUUAUUGAGAAUUUCUCAAAGAUUGCGAAGACUAUGACUGAGUUGUUGAAGAAGGAUACCGAGUUCAUAUGGACAGAGGAAUGUGAGGCUAGUUUUCAGGAGUUGAAGAAACGUUUGGUUACCUCACCCGUGUUGAUUUUACCGGACCAGACCAAGGAUUGUGAGGUGUAUUGCGACGCUUCACGAUGAGGACUUGGAGCAGUGCUUAUGUAGGAAGGCAGAGUUGUUUCAUAUACCUCACGAUAUCUUAAGCCUCAUGAGUUGAAUUAUGCCACGCAUGAUUUGGGAUUAGCAGCCGUAGUGCAUGCAUUGAAGACUUGGAGACAUUUUCUGAUUGGAAACCAUUGCGAGGUGUACACGGAUCACAACAGUUUGAAGUAUAUUUUCACACAGAAGGAGUUGAACCUCAGACAAAGGAGAUGGUUGGAGCUCAUCAAGGAUUAUGAUAUGAAAUAGCAUUAUCACCCCGGAAAGGCUAACGUAGUAGCUGAUGCAUUAAGCCGUAAGAGCCAUGUCAACACCCUAAUGACGGGAGAUUUACCAGGGGAGUUAGCCGAAAAUCUUCGAGAGCUAUGUUUGGAAAUAGUUCCAAGAGGCUAUGUAGCAGCAUUGGAGAUUCAGUCUACUUUAAUGGAUAAGAUCAGAGAAGCUCAAAGGACUGGCAAGGAAAUUGCUUCCAUUAAGGAGAAAAUGAACAAAGGAAAAGCUAAGGGAUUUCGUGAGGAUGAGCACGAUACCUUAUGGUUUGAAGACCGUGUCUAUGUACCAAAUGAUCCGGAGAUUAGGAAGCUAAUUCUGCAAGAGGCCCAUGACUCACCAUACUCGAUUCACCCAGGAAAUACCAAGAUGUAUUUGGAUUUGAAGGAUAUUUUCUGGUGGACCGGAAUGAAGAAGGAUAUUGCGGAAUAUGUAGCAGUUUGUGAUGUAUGUCAGAGAGUGAAGGCAGAGCAUCAGAAGCCAGCAGGAUUGCUACAACCAUUGACGAUACCCGAAUGGAAGUGGGAUAAGCUAGGCAUGGAUUUCAUCAUAGGAUUGCCCAGAACACGUUCAGGCUAUGACUCGAUAUGGGUUGUAGUCGAUCGUUUGACAAAGGUAGCUCAUUUCCUUCUAGUGAAGACUACCUAUACCAGUGCAAAGUUGUCAAAGAUAUACAUGACCAGGAUCGUAUGUCUGCAUGGAGUUCCAAGGAGCAUUGUAUCGGAUAGAGGAACCCAGUUUACCUCAAAGUUCUGGAAUCAGUUGCAUGAGACUUUGGGAACCAGACUGGAGUUUAGCACAGCUUUUCACCCGCAGACAGAUGGACAGACCGAGAGAGAGUAAAUCAGAUUUUGGAGGAUAUGCUAAGAGCUUGUGCGCUAGAUUAUGGAUCUAGUUGGGAUGAGAAUUUGCCAUAUGCAGAGUUCUCUUACAACAACAGCUAUCAAUCCAGUUUGAAGAUAGCCCCUUUUGAAGCCUUGUACGGAAGGAGGUGCAGGACCCCAUUGUCCUGGGAUGAAGUUGGAGAUCGCCAGUUGUUUGGACCGGAUCUGAUAAAGGAGUCUGAACAGAAAGUGAAAUUAAUUCGCGACAGGCUGAAGGUAGCUCAAUCCAGGCAGAAGAGUUAUGCAGAUUCUAAACGCAAGGAGACAGUUUACGAAGUCGGAGACCGAGUCUAUCUUCGAGUAUCACCACUUCGAGAAGUUAAGCGCUUUGGAGUUAAGGAAAAGUUAGCACCACAUUUUGUAGGCCCAUACCAAGUUUUGGAGCGUAUGGGAGAAGUUGCCUAUAAGUUGGAAUUGCCCAAAGGAUUGUCAGGAGUUCACGACAUGUUCCAUGUAUCCCAGUUGAAGAAGUGCCACGAAGAGAUGGCCGACAUACCGUUGAGAGAUACGGUACCACUAGAAGCAAUUCAGUUGGACAGUGAUUUAACCUAUGAGGAGAAACCAGUUAAGAUUCUAGAGUAUGCCAGUCGAGUCACCCGCAACAAGGUUAUCAAGUUUUGCAAGGUUCAGUGGAGCCACCACACGGAGGAUGAAGCCACCUGGGAACGAGAGGAAGAUUUGCUGAAGGACCACCCUCACCUAUUUUCUAGCCAACCCGAAUCUCGAGGGCGAGAUUCUUCUUAAGGGGGGUAGGUUUGUAACAUCCCAAAUUUUCAAUUUGGAAUGUUAUACACUAGAUCAUCAUUGCAUAUCAUAUUUAUUGCAUUUUGGUUGAUCCUAGAAAUUUUUCGCAACUCAAGGACCGUAGGAGAGAGUUGGGGAUUUCGUUAUUUUCAUAUUUGAGUUGUCUCAAAUUUUGAAAAUAGGAUCAUUCGAUUUUAUUUAUUUUAUCUUCAAUUAUUUCUAUUACAAAAAUAUGAGAGAGGGAAUAAAAUGACUUUCCCAAAAUAAAGAAAUAUUGAGGAUUUAAUAAAAAAUCAAAUAAGAUUUUAUUUGGUUUUAUUUGCUAUUUUAUUUGAAUUUAGGAAAAAACACGUUUUUCAAAAUUGCAUUUAGGCCCCAAAUAAAUGUUCAUCCUGUGCGGCUUGAUUUUAGAAGCCGGGGAAAAUUUAUUUCGGGAUUUUUGGAGUCCGUUUAGUAGUCCUUUUGUUUUUUUCCGAGCGUAAGUUUUAAAAAAAAAACGUCUGAACCGAUCUACGGGCCGUGCUAGGCCCGGACUCCCCCGGACCCAGCCUUUAUAAGCCGCUGGCCCACCCCGGGCUGAAACCCUAGCCGCCCCGCCUCGAACCCCGCGCCCGGCGCUGCCGCCCGCGCCCGGCGCCGCCCGCCGCCGCCNNNNNNNNNNNNNNNNNNNNNNNNNNNNNNNNNNNNNNNNNNNNNNNNNNNNNNNNNNNNNNNNNNNNNNNNNNNNNNNNNNNNNNNNNNNNNNNNNNNNNNNNNNNNNNNNNNNNNNNNNNNNNNNNNNNNNNNNNNNNNNNNNNNNNNNNNNNNNNNNNNNNNNNNNNNNNNNNNNNNNNNNNNNNNNNNNNNNNNNNNNNNNNNNNNNNNNNNNNNNNNNNNNNNNNNNNNNNNNNNNNNNNNNNNNNNNNNNNNNNNNNNNNNNNNNNNNNNNNNNNNNNNNNNNNNNNNNNNNNNNNNNNNNNNNNNNGCCUCGCCCGAGCCGCCGCCGCCGUCCCGCCGCCCGAGGUUUACCUCGAUCCCGCCGCCGGUUUUCUCGGAAAAACAGUUCGGUUUUCGUCGGUUUUUUGUUUCGUUUUUUCUUUAGAUCGGUUUUUUUCCUGGUUUAGGAUAAUUAGCGAGCGUUCGUUCGUUCGUUCGUUCGUUUUAACGAACGCGUUCUUCGUUUAGAUUCAGUUAACGAACGUUCGUUCGUUAAACUGUUCAUCGUUUUUCUUUUUCUCAGAUUUAAUCCGUGAUUUUCUGAUCGCGAUUUCUGAUCCGAUUUUCGUUUUAGUUUAUCUUUUCGCUCGUUUAUCGAAAUCAGGCGAUUCAAGCGCCUGGAGUUUCGUCUCGAUACCCUCUUUCCGUUUAACCAACUUAAACAAGUUUUUGCUUCUGUAAAAAUUGCCUUAGAUCCAGAAUAGUAAACGAAGCCUGUUUCUUUUGCCGUUUGUCUUUUGUUGCUUCGUUCGAUUCGAUUCUUUUUGCCAACCGGAGUUCUUAAGUUGAACUUUCUGGUUAAAUCUCUUAUUUGAGUUUUACCUGUGCAUUGGUUGAGUACUAAUUGUGUGCUUGUUUAUUUGCGAUAGAAUACCCGGAGUGCGCCGCUUGUUACUUCGAAUCGCUAGGUUUCCCGGAUCAUCAGCAAGGCAAGUAACACUUUGAUCAUACCUCCUACUACCCAGUUUUAUUGCAUUAGAUCAAUCCUUACACAUUGCAUGAUUAGGAUCUAAUUAAAUUGUGGGUUUGGGAAGUAGUUGAGGUAGUACCUUUUACCUGUCUAAUUAUCAAACCUUUGAGAGUUACUUCUACGUUUGCUUAUUAUUGCUAUGCUAUGCUAGUAGACGUGGAUUGGGUGAGUGUAUCCAUGACAGAUGUGAGCUUUGUUAAUUAAUGGUUACUUAAGGUGGCAACCUAAACACACAUCUGGGUGGAUUGAGGCAUCUGGGUAUUCCAGGAUUGCCUGUUUUCUUUUGGACCGCCACCUAGGCUCAAAGGGAUCAUGAGAUUAUUCAUGCUAGAAACUUCCAUGUGCAGCCACAAGCUAUUAUGGGCUCUAGCAUAGUUGACUAAGUCGUGCGAACUCUUACAGUGGUAGACUAGCAGAUGUAGGGGAUGUAGGUGGUACGGUCUACCCAUCGUAAGGUGCUAGCGCUUCUGAAAGACUAUGUCUCGGUCAUUCGUUUCUCAAACACCGUGUAGUGCGAGAAACCAAACGGAGGCGAUCGAGUCUUGUGGGGAAAAGUGCGCAAACCUCUGCAGAGUGUAUAAACUAAUCAUGGUUAGCCGUGUCCCCGGUUAUGGACAUCUUGAGUAUCUAGUACCUGGAUUAUCAUGUGAAUCUCAACAUGUUACUCUAAAGAUUAAUUUUGUUGGGUUUGUUUAAUGAUGAUGUUUAAUUGGGAUUGAGAAUGCUGUCAACCAUUCUCAAUGUUUAACAACCACCAUAAUAGUUAAAUAAAUUUAUUCCUUUGCAGUAGGGAAAAAUUGGCUUUACGCAAAACUGUAACCAUAGAGCUUUCCACCAGCCAAAUAUGCAUAUAGUAUAGCUGUUUCAUUCCAUUAUUCUCUAUGUGUUACAUUGCCAGUAUAUUCCAUGUGCUGACCCGUUUUCGGGCUGCAACGUUAAUGUUGGAGACUUUUCAGACAACGAUUAAGGAGUUUUAGGUCAUGGUUCUAUACUCAAUGAUGCCGUUGGAGUUGAUGGACUCACUUAUCUUCCAAGCCUUCCGCUGUUAUCGUUAUUAGAUGGCCUUAAGCCAUUUUUAUUGUAUUAAGUUAUCUUUGGAGACACUCGAUGUAAUAAGUGUGUGAUUGCUACUCUGCUAUAAAUCCUUCAAGUACUGUGUGGUGUCAGCAUUACUGAUCCAGGGAUGACACCGGAGCACAGAGAUUGGACCGUUUGAGGUCUGGUCGCUACAAAUAGCUUGACGUCGUGGCCAAUGACAAACAGGUUAGGCCAGUGCUGGGGUUGGGUACUAAGGAAGUAGCUGGAGCAACAAAAGGGAUGUUAGUCGCGAGUCUGACUGGGUCUAAUCUGCAAGGUAUAUGUAUUUGAUGUAAACUAAUUUCUAAUAAUGUAUUGUUUGAAGGUUGGAUGUAACGAAGGAUGGGGUGAGGUUGAUACUGAUGGCAAGGUUGUCACUAAAAAACCUGGUUGCGAGCUAUGUACUACUGAAGAUGAUGCAGUCUCUGGAAGUCCAAAAGGACAAAAUGUUGCCUGUUAUGAAAGUGAAGAUGAGAUUGACAACAUCUGGAGCAAGAAGAUUAAGACCGAGCCAAAUGUUUAACUUGCGUGCAAUGUAUUAGUAGGAAGUGUUACGUUCCUGUCGUUUCAGUUUGUGUAUCAGUUUGAAUUAAUGAGAAAAUUUGAAAAAAGUACCUGCAGUUAUUUUUAAUACUUGUUCGGGAAUGGACUGGGCUUGUAUGGGUGUCGGUGGCCGGCAUGCAGUAACUGGAGCGUAUCUAUAAAGAUACGAUACAGAGGUUUCUGAAAGCAUCCCUACAUGUAAGAGGUGGUGAGGCAUGCAUGUACAGUACACAUGCUGGCGUGGAGUUGAUAUGAGCCUUGAGUAAGCCUCUCCACACUUGCCAGCUAACCUAUGCAGGGGUGAAUGCUCCACAUUUAGUUAUUGGCGUGCACCGGGCUAGAGGCGUGUUUGUACCCACAGGGUAGUGCCAAAGAGAGCUGUAGUAGAGAGAAAGAGAUGAUGAUCUGCAUACUAUUGAUGGUGAGUUGACAUGUUGGAAAUAAAAAAACCAUUUUUACUUGGAAAAAACGCAAUGUGAAGCCGGUCCNNNNNNNNNNNNNNNNNNNNNNNNNNNNNNNNNNNNNNNNNNNNNNNNNNNNNNNNNNNNNNNNNNNNNNNNNNNNNNNNNNNNNNNNNNNNNNNNNNNNNNNNNNNNNNNNNNNNNNNNNNNNNNNNNNNNNNNNNNNNNNNNNNNNNNNNNNNNNNNNNNNNNNNNNNNNNNNNNNNNNNNNNNNNNNNNNNNNNNNNNNNNNNNNNNNNNNNNAAGGUGGCAAUUGGGUGGUAGAUGAGGGGGGGGGGGGGGGUUAAUUCAUCUGUGUCACUCUGCUCUCCUCGGCUCUCCUCUAGCUCGUCUCCUAUGAAAUAUGCUGUGAACCAGAGAGAGAGAGAGCAAACCGUGAAGAACAGACGGUCCGUCCAUGGAAGUAGAAGACCUAGAGGUAAUAUCCAAUAGAUUAAACUUUUAGUAACAAUUUUCUGGCUCUGGUUCUAUUUGGAUUAGGUUCUAUCUAUACCUAGAAAGCUCUUUGACCGGGCUGGGCCUAUGGACUGGUUCCUAUAGGUGUUGGUCAAAGCUUUGUUUUAUCUUUUAAUGGAUCUGGGUCUUUGUUUUUCUUCUAGUUGCUGGUUCAUAUGGUUUGCGUGCUGGAUGUACUGGUGGAGUUUGAUUUGGUGCUGGUACCUGAACCUAAUAUGGUGGACUUGAGUAUUAAGUUCCUAGGUGUAUAUGCACUUGGAUUCCUCCCAAGUCGACAUUUUUGGUUUCUGUACUAGUUGCUUUCGCAAAUAAAAAUGGGAGAUUUCUUCUUUUUGCUUGUACUUUAUUUCCAUAGAUGGUUGGGGGAGGGGGGAUGAUGUGAUUUGAUUCAAUCUAUCAUGUACAGUAACUGAAAACUUGGUACUAUAUUGACUAUGAACUUUAUUGCAGAUGUCAUCAGAAAGACGGAUUGGUAGUAGUAGUAGGGUGCCUAAGCAUAGGUUCUUGUCUGAUUGGGAAACUGGAUCUAGCAGCAUAUGUCUAGUUGCAGAGGUUUCUCCUACAAGGAGGUAUGAAGAUCUAGGGGUGGUUCCAGACUGGAAAAUUAACACUUGCUUCACUCCUAAAGUUCUGAAAGUUGCAAUGCAUGGUUGGGGGGAAGACAAGAAGGCAGCAGGCAGAUCUAUGGGGCUCGCUGGUGUUCUUGUCAUUGAUACGUUUCCAAAGAAACAUAAAGAGCAGGCCAUGCAGCUACUGAUGAGUGUGAUCCCUGAGCAAUCAUGUUUAUCAUUGGACACUUUAGGACUGAGAACAGUUGUUUUGAAUGCAGAUGUGUGUUGUAGGAUACUUGGAACCAGGAAAGGUGGUUCGAAUGAAAUACAAGGGUGCUCAGAGCCUGCUGAAGUAGAUGAUAUAAAGGCAGUUAGGAGGCUUCUGAAACUUCCUGAAACAUCUGUACCAAUAAAAGUGGAUGAACUUGUAAAGAUUCUGAUUAAGGAACAUACAUCAAGAAUGGAUGCAGAAGAAAGAAUCGGGUUUCAGAGGGCGUUUGCAAUGCUAUACGUGACAACAUUUGUAAGUCCUAGGGAACACCUAAAUCAAGCUACUCAUUCUGCUUGCCAAUUGGUGUUGGAGCAUGAAGAUUUGACAGAUUUGAACUGGGGCAAGUACACUGUUGAUGAAAUACUUGUUGGUGCGACUAAAGCCAGGGCAAGACAAUACAUGAAAACAUCGUGAGUAUAUGGUUGCCUAUUAGUACUCAUGGUGAGAUUAGCUUAUUCCUUAUAUAUUUGAACCAACCAGAAUUGCUAGACAUUGCAUACAUUAAUGUUUUUUGGUCUGAAUGCAGCUAUUGUUCUUCGACUCAGUCAACGUAGGUUUCAUAAAACUUAAUGACCAAGCGAAGCCAUGGAUCAAAUACUACAAUGCUAGCUUGCUAGAAGCACUUGUCAAUUAUAAUAGUUCAAAGGUGGAUGGUGUAACAACAUAUGGAACGUUGAAGGUAUUUUGAAAAUGGGUGAUAACUUAUAUGUAAUUGGGAUUAUGCUAUCGUUGUAAAAAAAAUGUUUAAAAUAGGUGUAUAUACAACUUAGUCGAGCAAUAUAGACCUAGAUAUAGACUCGGCAAAGAUUUAAAGUUCCCGUGGAAAGAAUGGCUUUGAUUUUGACAAGUAUAUAAGUUCUGUGCAACAGAAUACAAAUCGGUAUACUGCACGACAUUGAAUAAAAAAGACUUCCUAUUGUGAUACAAUAAAGAAAUCUGAUUAAUUUGGAUGAUAGAACAACAAUUAUUCUUUUGUUUAUUUCCUUAAAAGUAUAUUGCUUCCUUUGUAAGAAAAUAACACAAAAUAUGUGGGGUUGCAAUUCGUAGGAACUAUAUUAUUCCAGGGGUAUAUUAACAUGUAUAAAUCCUAUUAUACAAUGUCUAACUGUGAAACUAUUUUGUAUUCAGCCUAAGAAAAGCAUGCCAGACUUCAAUUACGAAGGAGAGGCUGAUAUUCUGGAAAUGACAAAAAAUGUAAGUAAUAAAAUAAUUGUCUUGAAAUAGAAUAACGCUAAGUAGAAAUGGUCUGAUUUUGAUGUUUACAUCUGUCAGGCGAUGCCAUUGUUCACUGCACAUGCGGAAAGAAUGACAUUGGAGGGUACAAACCAUAGCAUGAAUUUACACAAUAUGUUAGUGGCAGCAGGAGGGGCUAACACAAAUAUGGCCAGGAUGAUUAUGGAAAAUUAGUUACAUAAUGAGAAGAGUAGGGUUGUUGAAGAUUUCAGAAAGUUGUUUGAGUGCAUCAUAAACAUCAGACUGGAGAACAAGAAAAAUAACAUUACUUAUUUGAGGGGCAGUGGAAAUAUGUUGAUUGAAGGUAAAUAAAAAAAUAGAAUUACAGCUGCAUUAAAACGGACAUAAGUAAGUUGCAGAGUGUUUGACAGGUUUGAAGACAGAAAUCAUGCAGUUAUUGAAAGGGAUAGGUGCUUCAAAAGACAACAGUGUGGCAGGUAUGAAAAACUGCUUUCAACAAUUUGUUUACGCAACAACUAAUGUAUAGGGGGAUUAUUAGAGGGGUUUUAAUUCCUACAUCGAAAAAGUGUUGAGAUAAAUGAUAAAACAUAGUUUUGUGUUCUGGGACAACAUGAAUAAUUUAACAUUCAAACUUAUUCAUUUUAUUUUAUUCUAUGGCGGAAAGAGUCUGCUACUUUUCUGAAGGAAAGUAAAGGGAAGGAGAAAGUGGAUGAUGGCACUGGGAAAAGCUUACUUGGUAAGUUAUGUGAUGAUGAUAGACAGAUGAGUGGAAUGUAAUUCCAUUCAAAAGUUGAUGGGUGCAACUGAAUUAAUUUGAAAUACAUUGGGGGCGACAAGGGUGGUUUUUCCAAUUAUUGCAUGGGACCUCUAAAAAAAUUACCCAGUAACAAGUUGGGACUGGAUGAGUGGUAUGAAAGAAAAGGGGUAUUUGUUCCAAUGUCUGUGUUUGCGCAAGCAUAUUUAACACAAAGAAUAAAUGGUAAAUGUUUGCUAAACCAACACUUGUAGUUUAUAUGGUAGCACUAUGAAUUAUGCUUCAUAUAUAUAAUGUACUGACAUCUGAAUGCAACAGCUGAUAUACCAGAUUUGAACAUCCCAACAUAUGAUGAAGGACAGUUUGUAGCCCAGACAAAUGAGGUGGCGCUUAAUCAGAAGAAAAGGCAGGCUUCUGAUAUGACUAGAGUGGAGGAAAUAGUUUUCGAGCCAGCGAAAAGGAAAUGUGUAUAUGUGAGACAACGUAGGAAGAAAGUUGUUUUUGCAAUCUCUCCUUUUGCACUAGGGCAAUGCUACGAGGAGAUAAGGCACGCAGUGGCAAACGUGGGGUUGAGGAACAUGAAGCAAUCAUUCCUGGGAACGCGUCCUCGGUAAGCUUUCAGGAACUAAGUUUGAUUAUGUAACAUGUAUUAGAAAUUUGCGUGGGAGUUUGACUGACACUGGUGAAAACUAUGGUUGUAGCACUUGGUUCAAGCAUGAGGAGCCUGAUUUGCUGGAGAUGACUGGGGAUAAAUUUGUAGAUCGGUUUACUAGUCCAUGUGGACUGACUUAUAGAGGAUUUGCUGUGGUGAUUAGGAUGAUGUGGAUGGUUGAGCUGACUUGGAUGACACCUGCACAACGAAACCGUUGGAGGCACAUCUUGCUACCUCUUUGGGCGGUGAGUUAUUAAAAACUAUGGGGCAAAACAAAUUAGGAAGAGACGAUUCCUUGCUAAUAAUGACAAUUUCAUAUCUGUUUAGGAGCUUGUGGUGUAUGAUAAAAAUUAUCUUGCGCAUUCAAAGGUGAAAGAAAUGUUCACAAGUGAGGUUUGGGGGUAUGAUCUGCCGUGCUGCAGGAUGGUAAGUAAAUUGUUUGUACUUGCAAUCCAAAGUUUGUAGUCGUAAGAUUUGUUUUGAUAUGAAGUAAGUUGUGUGACCGGUUAUUUCAGAUAAUAGCGCCUAUAAGAGACAAAGAACAAUAACUGGACAUUGUAUGCUAUUGACAUGAGCGAAUGCAUUGUGCAUGUCCUUGAUCCAAGGAGUUCAUGCAUUGGAGAGGAACAACUGCUGGAAAACACAGUGGCAUUUGUGACAAGCUGAUUACUGGAUUAGCGAAGUGUGCAAGAGAGUUCUAUAAGGGCUGGGAAGUGGUCCCCGAGAAGUUAACAUACACCCGAAACUUCAUGGGCCAGCCAGCAUGUAAGUUAAUUGUUUACUACUAUUUUGUUAUGCUUAUAUGAAAACUUUCUGGUUAAUAACAACUAGUUUCGUUUACGCAGUGAAAAAUCUGCGUUCGACAUGGUGCACCAUUUCACAUACUUCGACGGGAAAUCACUAGUGAAAGGGAGAUCAAAAGCAAGUUCUUCCCCUACUUGCCUGUCUUUCAAAAAAAUAUUUUUUUAGAUAUGGUUGUUAUAUCAUAUUUAUAAUAAUUCCGGCUAGAAAUUUAAUAUAUCUAAUGUUUACUUCUUGUAGGAGUUGAAUAAACAACUGAAGGCCAAUGACCUGCAGAUGGUUCUAGGAAUGAAAGGGAACAAAGGAUACCCGCCAAAAGGCGUCCUUGCGCCUGAAGUCUAGAUUCCAAUGGAUUAGAGGAACAAGUAUGUAGAAGUGAUAUGUGUGUAUUAUUUUGCGUUUGAAUAUGUAUCAGGCUUCAUCAUGGUACUGAAAUAUGCUGACAUGUGGACAAACUGCAACAUGUAGACAUGGCUGCAUAUAUGGAGUGCUUAUCUGCGAGCUAAGAAAAAUUGAGUUGUACCAUCUAAGGAUGGGGGGUUUUGUUUGUUGGUAUGCUUCAGAAAUCUAAUAUUUAACAUGUUGCCCCUUGGGGCACGCAAAGUGUUUUAUGGUAAGCAUUCUUGAACAGAAAAUAGUCAAUUUUUGAGAGUAAAUGAAUGAGGAAAAAAUGAAGCAAUAUUGCCAGAAAUUUGUUAAAUCGUGGACUGGCAAUAGUAAGAAUUUUGCAAAGACAUGAACUGAAUAGUACAUAUAUUAUUCUGAUAAUAAACAUGAUUGACAUCUAGGGAUAAAGUUAGGGGACUCACAAGGGGCUGGAGGGGGUCUGCAAAUCUUAGCAAUCUUGAACCGAUGGGCAGAUCACUAGGCAUCUUGGAUGAGGAGGCCUGCGAUGCAAUAGGGGGAUUCGUUUAGGAAGGGGAAGAUGAGGCUGCUAAGUAACUGUUGUAUAUUGCAGGGGACAGGGGAAGGGGAGAAGAAAUGAAGAUCUGAGAGGAGAGGAGAAGUGAGGAGAAGUGCGCAAUGCCAGAUCUGUAAGGCCGAAGUGGUGGGAUGACUAGGGGGUAGGUGGUUUGAGUGGCUGGGAGUAGUAGCAUGGUGAGUGAGGUGAGGCUUUGGUGUUGGCUGCUGAUUGGUAGAACCAACUUUAGGUGCUAUGGUGGGGCAAACAAGGG